rnacentral:rRNA from 1 species
UGGGGAAUCUUGCGCAAUGGGGGAAACCCUGACGCAGCAACGCCGCGUGAGUGAGGAAGGCCCUCGGGUUGUAAAGCUCUGUCAGAUAGGAAGAAUAGCACGUUCCCGAAUAGGUUGCGUGUUUGACGGUACUAUCAAAGGAAGCACCGGCUAACUUCGUGCCAGCAGCCGCGGUAAUACGAAGGGUGCAAGCGUUACUCGGAAUUACUGGGCGUAAAGCGCGCGCAGGCGGAUUGGUAAGUCAGAUGUGAAAUGUCGGGGCUCAACCUCGAAAUUGCGUCUGAAACUAUUAAUCUAGAAUCUUGGAGAGGGAGGCGGAAUUUCGCAUGUAGGGGUAAAAUCCGUAGAGAUGCGAAGGAACACCAGAGGCGAAGGCGGCCUCCUGGACAAGAAUUGACGCUGAGGCGCGAAAGCGUGGGGAGCAAACA